rnacentral:tRNA from 1 species
GCCUAGUUAGCUUAGUUGGUAGUGCGUCUGCCUUGUAAGCGCUAGGCCGCGGGUUCGAUUCCUGCCUGGGGCA